rnacentral:sRNA from 1 species
UGACAUACUCAAUUGGUUCGCCGUUUA